AGGGUGUAAACGCUGCAGACUUGGUGUUGGGGACCCUACGGGGGUGUUCAGUGCCGGAGAGAAGUUGUUAAGUCUGCUACUUGGGGAGUACGUCCGCAAGGAUGAAACUUAAAGGAAUUGGCGGGGGAGCACCGCAACGGGAGGAGCGUGCGGUUUAAUUGGAUUCAACACCGGAAAACUCACCAGCGGCGACUGUUACAUGAAAGUCAGCCGAUGACCUUACUAGAUUUUCAGAGAGGAGGUGCAUGGCGUCAGUGACU
rnacentral:rRNA from 1 species